UUUGCAGAGACAAAAAGUGUAAUGAAAAAUUGGUAAUUCUUUUCUAGUUAAGUUGUAGUCUUAAAAAUUAUCUUUUUAUGUUUCAAAUUUUAGAAAUAUGGAAAACUGACAACUUGUACUGGUUGCCGAACACAGUGCAGGUUUUUUGAUAUGACUCAGUGUAUAGGUCCUAAUGGAUAUAUGGAGCCAUAUUGUUCAACUGCUUGUAUGAACAGUCACAAGACAAAAUAUGCAAAAUCACAAAGUUUGGGAAUUAUUUGCCAUUUUUGUAAGCGAAACUCUUUACCUCAAUACCAAGCCACAAUGCCUGAUGGAAAACUGUAUAACUUUUGCAAUUCCAGUUGUGUGGCUAAAUUUCAGGGUAUUACCCAAAGGUUCAAACCCGUGCAUAAAGCCAUGCUUCAUGAGUUAAUUCAUCCAACAAUUCUGCUUUGUUCCAGGCUCUAAGUAUGCAGUCAUCUCCAAAUGGCCAGUUUGUAGCGCCAAGUGAUAUUCAGUUGAAAUGCAACUACUGCAAAAAUUCCUUUUGUUCAAAACCAGAAAUCCUGGAAUGGGAGAACAAAGUGCAUCAGUUCUGCAGCAAAACUUGUUCAGAUGACUAUAAGAAGUUGCAUUGCAUAGUUACAUAUUGCGAAUACUGUCAAGAGGAGAAGACUCUUCAUGAAACAGUAAAUUUCUCUGGCGUUAAGAGACCUUUCUGUAGUGAAGGCUGCAAAUUAUUAUACAAACAGGAUUUUGCCAGACGUUUAGGAUUGAGAUGUGUUACUUGCAACUAUUGUUCUCAGCUAUGUAAGAAGGGAGCAACUAAAGAACUCGAUGGUGUUGUGAGAGAUUUCUGCAGUGAAGACUGCUGUAAAAAAUUUCAGGAUUGGUACUACAAGGCUGCAAGGUGUGACUGUUGUAAAUCUCAAGGAACUCUUAAAGAGCGAGUUCAGUGGCGUGGGGAAAUGAAACAUUUCUGUGAUCAACAUUGCUUACUGCGUUUCUACUGUCAACAAAAUGAGCCCAACAUGACAACUCAGAAGGGACCUGAAAACUUACAUUAUGAUCAGGGUUGUCAGACGUCUCGAACCAAAAUGACAGGUUCAGCACCACCCCCUUCUCCAACACCUAACAAAGAGAUGAAGAACAAAGCAGUUCUUUGCAAACCUUUAACAAUGACAAAAGCUACUUACUGUAAACCUCACAUGCAGACCAAAUCUUGUCAGACAGAUGAUACUUGGAAGACAGAAUAUGUUCCAGUGCCUAUCCCUGUACCUGUGUAUAUCCCAGUUCCUAUGCACAUGUACAGUCAGAAUAUUCCUGUUCCUACUACAGUUCCUGUUCCUGUGCCAGUUCCUGUUUUUCUGCCUGCUCCAUUGGACAGCAGUGAGAAGAUUCCUGCAGCAAUUGAGGAGCUAAAAAGCAAGGUUUCUUCAGAUGCUCUUGAUACAGAGUUGCUUACAAUGACGGAUAUGAUGAGUGAAGACGAGGGGAAAACAGAGACUACCAACAUCAACAGUGUAAUUAUUGAAACAGAUAUAAUUGGUUCAGACCUUUUGAAGAACUCUGACCCAGAGACACAGUCCAGCAUGCCUGAUGUACCAUAUGAACCAGAUUUGGAUAUCGAAAUAGAUUUUCCCAGAGCUGCUGAGGAGCUUGAUAUGGAAAAUGAAUUUUUAUUACCACCUGUUUUUGGUGAAGAAUAUGAGGAACAGCCCAGACCUCGAUCUAAAAAAAAGGGAGCCAAGAGAAAGGCUGUGUCAGGAUACCAGUCUCAUGAUGAUAGUUCUGACAAUUCAGAAUGCAGCUUUCCUUUCAAAUAUACGUAUGGCGUAAACGCAUGGAAACACUGGGUCAAAACUAGGCAACUUGAUGAAGAUCUUCUGGUAUUAGACGAGUUAAAAUCUUCUAAAUCAGUAAAGUUAAAAGAGGAUCUACUCUCUCACACCACAGCUGAGCUUAACUAUGGGUUAGCUCAUUUUGUCAAUGAGAUCCGACGGCCAAAUGGAGAGAAUUAUGCACCUGACAGCAUCUAUUACCUUUGCCUUGGAAUACAGGAGUAUUUGUGUGGAAGUAAUCGAAAAGACAACAUAUUUAUUGAUCCUGGAUACCAAACAUUUGAGCAAGAAUUGAAUAAAAUACUGCGAAGCUGGCAACCAAGCAUACUUCCAGAUGGGUCAAUAUUCUCUCGAGUUGAAGAAGACUAUCUCUGGAGGAUAAAACAACUAGGAUCACACUCUCCAGUAGCUCUUCUGAAUACACUGUUCUACUUUAACACUAAGUAUUUUGGCCUGAAAACAGUGGAACAACACUUAAGACUUUCCUUUGGCACUGUGUUUAGGCAUUGGAAAAAAAAUCCUUUAACGAUGGAAAACAAAGCGUGUCUUCGAUACCAAGUGUCUUCCUUAUGUGGAACAGAUAAUGAAGAUAAAAUUACUACUGGAAAAAGAAAACAUGAAGAUGAUGAGCCAGUAUUUGAACAAAUUGAAAACACAGCCAAUCCUUCCAGAUGUCCUGUGAAAAUGUUUGAAUGCUACUUGUCUAAAAGUCCACAGAAUCUUAAUCAGAGGAUGGAUGUUUUUUAUUUGCAACCAGAAUGUUCUAGUUCUACAGAUAGCCCUGUCUGGUAUACGUCUACUUCACUGGACCGAAACACCUUGGAAAAUAUGCUUGUACGGGUUCUUCUAGUAAAAGAUAUUUAUGAUAAAGACAAUUAUGAACUGGAUGAAGACACAGACUAAAAAGGAACGUUGCAGAAGCAAUCGGGAUAAAACAGCAUUAGAUAGUCAUGCUGCUAGAUCUUUAUUAUGGAAAACAUUUCAAGUUUACUCCUUCUGUUUUGAGUUUUGUAGCAGUGUACCCACGCUGGGUAUUACCAUGUAAAUAAUCUGUGAGUGAAAGUUGCCAUUAUUCUAUGUAGUGGUUUUAGGAUACUUAACAAAUACAUUCAGAUUCUUUUUUUAUUAUUAUUUAUUUGAUUAGGUAUGUUUGUAACUUUUUACAUUACAGAAUAUGAAUGAGAAUGUGCCAUGUAUAAUUUUUUUCUUGUAGUAAGAAACAUCCAUAUUGCACAACUCUACUGUUGCAAAGCUUCCUUGGAAGGGGGCUCUUUUACUGGGUUCUUAACCAGAUGGUUGUGUAUGGGUAGCACUACUAAAAGUUUAGAACUUGCAGUGUCUUUCGGAAUUUUUAAAAUAAACUGUAAACUAAUAGGCUGGGGUUUUUGUUUUGUUUCGGGGUUUUGUUUUGUUUUGUUUUGUUUUACAUUUUAGUUACUGAAGCCUUACAAGGUUAUGUAGAGAGAUACCAUCUUCUGUACCAAAAAUAGACAAGAGAAUGCUGUCAAUAUUGGUGUACUGUAAUGUGAAUCUAUACUGGUGAAAACAAUUUUUUGUUCCCCUUAUUAAAACCUUAGUGUCCUUUUCUCAUUUGUGGCUUUCUGCAUCACCCAAUCAAUAAAAAAACAAAUAUAUAUAUGUA
rnacentral:sRNA from 1 species